rnacentral:rRNA from 1 species
GACGAACGCUGGCGGCGUGCCUAAUACAUGCAAGUCGAACGCAGUGGGGACGGGUGAGUAACACGUGGGUAACCUCCCAUCAGAGGGGAUAACACUUGGAAACAGGUGCUAAACCGAUAUUGCUGUAUGGACCCGCGGUGGAUUAGCUAGUUGGUGAGGUAACGGCUCACCAAGGCCACGAUGGAUAGCCGACCUGAGAGGGUGAUCGGCCACACUGGGACUGAGAAACGGCCCAGACUCCUACGGGAGGCAGCAGUAGGGAAUCUUCGUCAAUGGACGAAAGUCUGACCGAGCAACGCCGCGUGAGUGAAGAAGGUUUUCGGAUCGUAAAACUCUGUUGUUAGAGAAGCGGUAUCUAACCAGAAAGCCACGGCUAACUACGUGCCAGCAGCCGCGGUAAUUC